rnacentral:rRNA from 1 species
GGUUAAGCGACUAAGCGUACACGGUGGAUGCCCUGGCAGUCAGAGGCGAUGAAGGACGUGCUAAUCUGCGAUAAGCGUCGGUAAGGUGAUAUGAACCGUUAUAACCGGCGAUUUCCGAAUGGGGAAACCCAGUGUGAUUCGUCACACUAUCAUUAACUGAAUCCAUAGGUUAAUGAGGCGAACCGGGGGAACUGAAACAUCUAAGUACCCCGAGGAAAAGAAAUCAACCGAGAUUCCCCCAGUAGCGGCGAGCGAACGGGGAGGAGCCCAGAGCCUGAAUCAGUGUGUGUGUUAGUGGAAGCGUCUGGAAAGGCGCGCGAUACAGGGUGACAGCCCCGUACACAAAAAUGCACAUGCUGUGAGCUCGAUGAGUAGGGCGGGACACGUGGUAUCCUGUCUGAAUAUGGGGGGACCAUCCUCCAAGGCUAAAUACUCCUGACUGACCGAUAGUGAACCAGUACCGUGAGGGAAAGGCGAAAAGAACCCCGGCGAGGGGAGUGAAAAAGAACCUGAAACCGUGUACGUACAAGCAGUGGGAGCCUCUUUAUGGGGUGACUGCGUACCUUUUGUAUAAUGGGUCAGCGACUUAUAUUCUGUAGCAAGGUUAACCGAAUAGGGGAGCCGAAGGGAAACCGAGUCUUAACUGGGCGUUAAGUUGCAGGGUAUAGACCCGAAACCCGGUGAUCUAGCCAUGGGCAGGUUGAAGGUUGGGUAACACUAACUGGAGGACCGAACCGACUAAUGUUGAAAAAUUAGCGGAUGACUUGUGGCUGGGGGUGAAAGGCCAAUCAAACCGGGAGAUAGCUGGUUCUCCCCGAAAGCUAUUUAGGUAGCGCCUCGUGAAUUCAUCUCCGGGGGUAGAGCACUGUUUCGGCAAGGGGGUCAUCCCGACUUACCAACCCGAUGCAAACUGCGAAUACCGGAGAAUGUUAUCACGGGAGACACACGGCGGGUGCUAACGUCCGUCGUGAAGAGGGAAACAACCCAGACCGCCAGCUAAGGUCCCAAAGUCAUGGUUAAGUGGGAAACGAUGUGGGAAGGCCCAGACAGCCAGGAUGUUGGCUUAGAAGCAGCCAUCAUUUAAAGAAAGCGUAAUAGCUCACUGGUCGAGUCGGCCUGCGCGGAAGAUGUAACGGGGCUAAACCAUGCACCGAAGCUGCGGCAGCGACGCUUAUGCGUUGUUGGGUAGGGGAGCGUUCUGUAAGCCUGCGAAGGUGUACUGUGAGGUAUGCUGGAGGUAUCAGAAGUGCGAAUGCUGACAUAAGUAACGAUAAAGCGGGUGAAAAGCCCGCUCGCCGGAAGACCAAGGGUUCCUGUCCAACGUUAAUCGGGGCAGGGUGAGUCGACCCCUAAGGCGAGGCCGAAAGGCGUAGUCGAUGGGAAACAGGUUAAUAUUCCUGUACUUGGUGUUACUGCGAAGGGGGGACGGAGAAGGCUAUGUUGGCCGGGCGACGGUUGUCCCGGUUUAAGCGUGUAGGCUGGUUUUCCAGGCAAAUCCGGAAAAUCAAGGCUGAGGCGUGAUGACGAGGCACUACGGUGCUGAAGCAACAAAUGCCCUGCUUCCAGGAAAAGCCUCUAAGCAUCAGGUAACAUCAAAUCGUACCCCAAACCGACACAGGUGGUCAGGUAGAGAAUACCAAGGCGCUUGAGAGAACUCGGGUGAAGGAACUAGGCAAAAUGGUGCCGUAACUUCGGGAGAAGGCACGCUGAUACGUAGGUGAAGUCCCUUGCGGAUGGAGCUGAAAUCAGUCGAAGAUACCAGCUGGCUGCAACUGUUUAUUAAAAACACAGCACUGUGCAAACACGAAAGUGGACGUAUACGGUGUGACGCCUGCCCGGUGCCGGAAGGUUAAUUGAUGGGGUUAGCGGUAACGCGAAGCUCUUGAUCGAAGCCCCGGUAAACGGCGGCCGUAACUAUAACGGUCCUAAGGUAGCGAAAUUCCUUGUCGGGUAAGUUCCGACCUGCACGAAUGGCGUAAUGAUGGCCAGGCUGUCUCCACCCGAGACUCAGUGAAAUUGAACUCGCUGUGAAGAUGCAGUGUACCCGCGGCAAGACGGAAAGACCCCGUGAACCUUUACUAUAGCUUGACACUGAACAUUGAGCCUUGAUGUGUAGGAUAGGUGGGAGGCUUUGAAGUGUGGACGCCAGUCUGCAUGGAGCCGACCUUGAAAUACCACCCUUUAAUGUUUGAUGUUCUAACGUUGGCCCCUAAUCGGGGUUGCGGACAGUGUCUGGUGGGUAGUUUGACUGGGGCGGUCUCCUCCUAAAGAGUAACGGAGGAGCACGAAGGUUGGCUAAUCCUGGUCGGACAUCAGGAGGUUAGUGCAAUGGCAUAAGCCAGCUUGACUGCGAGCGUGACGGCGCGAGCAGGUGCGAAAGCAGGUCAUAGUGAUCCGGUGGUUCUGAAUGGAAGGGCCAUCGCUCAACGGAUAAAAGGUACUCCGGGGAUAACAGGCUGAUACCGCCCAAGAGUUCAUAUCGACGGCGGUGUUUGGCACCUCGAUGUCGGCUCAUCACAUCCUGGGGCUGAAGUAGGUCCCAAGGGUAUGGCUGUUCGCCAUUUAAAGUGGUACGCGAGCUGGGUUUAGAACGUCGUGAGACAGUUCGGUCCCUAUCUGCCGUGGGCGCUGGAGAACUGAGGGGGGCUGCUCCUAGUACGAGAGGACCGGAGUGGACGCAUCACUGGUGUUCGGGUUGUCAUGCCAAUGGCACUGCCCGGUAGCUAAAUGCGGAAGAGAUAAGUGCUGAAAGCAUCUAAGCACGAAACUUGCCCCGAGAUGAGUUCUCCCUGACUCCUUGAGAGUCCUGAAGGAACGUUGAAGACGACGACGUUGAUAGGCCGGGUGUGUAAGCGCAGCGAUGCGUUGAGCUAACCGGUACUAAUGAACCGUGAGGCUUAACCUU